rnacentral:rRNA from 1 species
UACAGAGGGUGCGAGCGUUAAUCGGAAUUACUGGGCGUAAAGCGCGCGUAGGCGGCUUUGCAAGUCGGGUGUGAAAUCCCCAGGCUUAACCUGGGAACUGCAUUCGAGACUGCAUUGCUAGAGUAUGGGAGAGGGAAGUGGAAUUUCCGGUGUAGCGGUGAAAUGCGUAGAUAUCGGAAGGAACAUCAGUGGCGAAGGCGGCAGUCCUGGACCGGCGAUUGACGCUGAUGAGCGAAAGCCAGGGGAGCAAACGGG